rnacentral:rRNA from 1 species
CUACGGGCUGCUCCAGUGAGGAAUAUUGCACAAUGGGGGGAACCCUGAUGCAGCAACGCCGCGUGGAGGAUGACGCAUUUCGGUGUGUAAACUCCUUUUAUAUGUCAAGAAAAUGACGGUAGCAUAUGAAUAAGCACCGGCUAACUCCGUGCCAGCAGCCGCGGUAAUACGGAGGGUGCAAGCGUUACUCGGAAUCACUGGGCGUAAAGGGCGCGUAGGCGGGUUGGAAAGUCAGGUGUGAAAUCCUACAGCUUAACUGUAGAACUGCACUUGAAACUUCUAAUCUAGAGUAUGGGAGGGGGAGAUGGAAUUAGUGGUGUAGGGGUAAAAUCCGUAGAUAUCACUAGGAAUACCUAAAGCGAAGGCGAUCUCCUGGAACAUUACUGACGCUAAGGCGUGGAAGCGUGGGGAGCAAACAGGAUUAGAUACCCCCGUAGUC